UCCCUGGUGGUCCAGUGGUUGAGACGCUGGGCUCCGAAUGUAGGGAGCCCAGGUUCGAUCCCUGGUCAGGGAA
rnacentral:tRNA from 1 species